rnacentral:tRNA from 1 species
GCUCUAAUAGCUUAACACAAAGCAUUGUUCUUGUAAACCAAAGCCGGGAUACCCCAUCCCUUAGAGCA